UGGCUCUCGCAUCGAUGAAGAACGCAGCGAAAUGCGAUAAGUAAUGUGAAUUGCAGAAUUCAGUGAAUCAUCGAAUCUUUGAACGCACCUUGCGCUCCUUGGUAUUCCGAGGAGCAUGCCUGUUUGAGUGUCAUUAAAUCAUCAACCACCUCAUCUUUGAGAGGGUUGGACUUGGAGGCUCUGCUGGCCCCGACCGGGACCGGCUCCUCUGAAAAGCAUUAGCAGGGACCUAUCUUGUGUGCAACCGCUUGCAGCCUCCUCUGCAGCCUUGUGUGACUAGUAGUCAUCGACGCUCGGUGUGGUUGCAUCGUACCCCAGCUUCCAGCCGUCCACUUGUGGACAAUCCACCUGACCAAUUGACCUCAAAUCAGGUAGGACUACCCGCUGA
rnacentral:misc_RNA from 1 species